UUGGGCCAUUGCAAGGGGCUGCUUUCCUUAUUUUUUGUAUAUUUGCAUUAAAGAAGAAAGUAUCCCUUCAGGAAUGAACUACUCCAGACAAUCAUUGCAAGGCAAUGAAUCACCAUCACUAGCAGUCCAUGAUCUAUAAUCAGUCUGCAGAAAAUCUUUUCAGGCUUCAUAGUGCAAUGCCAGUUGCCCAAAAAUGUGACAGGUACCACAUUGCCCUUCACCUUGGUGAGCUGAAGGGAUGGACCAGCUGAGAAAGGUCCACAGGCAGCAUUUGAAAUACUCGUUUCAAUUAAAGAUAAAAAAAUAUUAAGGUAGAUCCUGGAUAUCUACUAAGUUUUCUAUGCUGAGUAUUGCUUUGGUGGAAGUGCAAAAUGUUUUGCUGGAAAUGCACAAUGACAAAAUCCUGAAGAAAGUGGUGAGUGUCACAGCACAAAAGAACAUUUGGAAGGGUGGAAUAUGAGAUAAUCUUGCUUGAGGAGAGGUAGCAGGAGGUAGUUUCAGUGGUGUGGAGUGUGUAGGUGAAUGCCAGGAAAGGAUUUCCACACAGUCUUUGAGAAGAGAAAAUGAUCAAAGGAACUUAACAUUACUGACUACUGACUUCAAUUCUGGUUCUACACAAAGACAUUUUCUGGUUUCAGUUUUUAUUUUGCCGUGCUCUACCUUUACCUAAUAUUUGAGUCUUUGGUAAGAGUACGCAGACUAAAUUUUCACUGGAUGCAUGAACCUGGACUUUGGCAGCAUGUCAGGUUUAAUGGGAUCCCUGUCUGCAAAUCCAGCCUCAGCAACUGGUCACAAGUCACAGGAUU